AUUGAACGCUGGCGGCAUGCCCUACACAUGCAAGUCGAACGGUAACAGGUUAAGCGGACGAGUGGCGAACGGGUGAGUAAUGUAUCGGAACGUGCCCAGUCGGGGGGGAUAACUGCUCGAAAGAGCAGCUAAUACCGCAUACGACCUGAGAGUGAAAGCGGGGGAUCGCAAGACCUCGCGCGAUUGGAGCGGCCGAUAUCAGAUUAGGUAGUGGGUGAGGUAACGGCUCACCAAGCCGACGAUCUGUAGCUGGUCUGAGAGGACGACCAGCCACACUGGGACUGGGCACCGGCCCAGCCUCCGCGGGGAGGACGCAGAGGGGAAUUUUGGACAAUGGGCGCAAGCCUGCUCCAGCCAUGCCGGGGGGUGGAAGAAGUCCUUCGGGUUGUAAGCCGCUUUUGUCAGGGAAGAAAAGGUUCUGGCUAAUACCUGCGCCUAGUGACGGUACCUGACGAAUAAGCACCGGCUAACUACGUG
rnacentral:rRNA from 1 species